rnacentral:rRNA from 1 species
AGAGUUUGAUCCUGGCUCAGGAUGAAUUUUGGCCGCCCGCCUAAUACUUGCCAGUCGAACGGCACCCCUCUCCUGAGGGAAGCGAGUGGAGAACGGCUGAUUAACACGGGGAGAACCUGCCCCCUCCCCCGGGACAGCCGCCCGAAAGGACGGGUAAUACCAGAUACCCCCGGGGUGCUGCAUGGCACCCCGGCUUAAAGCCCCGACGGGAGGGGAUGGCUCCGCGGCCCAUCAGGUAGACGGCGGGGUGACGGCCCACCGUGCCGACAACGGGUAGCCGGGUUGAGAGACCGACCGGCCAGAUUGGGACUGAGACACGGCCCAGACUCCUACGGGAGGCAGCAGUGGGGAAUCUUGCGCAAUGGGGGGAACCCUGACGCAGCGACGCCGCGUGCGGGACGGAGGCCUUCGGGUCGUAAACCGCUUUCAGCAGGGAAGAGUCAAGACUGUACCUGCAGAAGAAGCCCCGGCUAACUACGUGCCAGCAGCCGCGGUAAUACGUAGGGGGCGAGCGUUAUCCGGAUUCAUUGGGCGUAAAGCGCGCGUAGGCGGCCCGGCAGGCCGGGGGUCGAAGCGGGGGGCUCAACCCCCCGAAGCCCCCGGAACCUCCGCGGCUUGGGUCCGGUAGGGGAGGGUGGAACACCCGGUGUAGCGGUGGAAUGCGCAGAUAUCGGGUGGAACACCGGUGGCGAAGGCGGCCCUCUGGGCCGAGACCGACGCUGAGGCGCGAAAGCUGGGGGAGCGAACAGGAUUAGAUACCCUGGUAGUCCCAGCCGUAAACGAUGGACACUAGGUGUGGGGGGACGGAUCCCCUCCGUUCCGCAGCCAACGCAUUAAGAGUUUCCGCCUGGGGAGUACGCCCGCAAGGUUAAAACUCAAAGGAAUUGACGGGGGCCCGCACACGCGGCGGAACAUGUGGUUUAAUUUGAAGCAACGGGAAGAGCCUUACCAGGGCUUGACAUAUGGUGUGAAGCGGGGGAGACCCCGUGGCCGAGAGGAGCCCAUACAGGUGGUGCAUGGCUGUCGUCUGCUCGUGUCGUGAGAUGUUGGGUUAAGUCCCGCAACGAGCGCAACCCCCGCCGCGUGUUGCCAUCGGGUGAUGCCGGGAACCCACGCGGGACCGCCGCCGUCAAGGCGGAGGAGGGCGGGGACGACGUCAAGUCAUCAUGCCCCUUAUGCCCUGGGCUGCACACGUGCUACAAUGGCCGGUACAGAGGGAUGCCACCCCGCGAGGGGGAGCGGAUCCCGGAAAGCCGGCCCCAGUUCGGAUUGGGGGCUGCAACCCGCCCCCAUGAAGUCGGAGUUGCUAGUAAUCGCGGAUCAGCAUGCCGCGGUGAAUGCGUUCCCGGGCCUUGCACACACCGCCCGUCA